UUCUCCUUCAUUCUCAUUUCUUGCACGCCGACACCAGCCCCUCCAUUUUCUAUUGGCCGCCCCUUGCUCCCUCCCAUGGGGCUCCCCCUCGAUCCCUCUCCAUGGCAUGGAUCAGCCCCAGCUUCCCAUGGAUGUCGCCCUCCUCUCCCUGAUGGCUGGCAUCUCCACUCCCUGCAGCAAGGACGCUUUCCUCUGCUCCCUGCUCUUCCUCCCAUGGCCAACCCAUGGUAAGCUCGCCAUGCCUUUCUACUCGUCCAUGGUCUCUCCCGAUUGCUGCAUCUCUCCUGCUCACUUCCAAUGGUGUGGACGUCACCCUCUCCCUCACCUUCCAGUUGUGGUGCUCGCCCUGGCUCCAGCCCCUUCCACAGUCGGCACCCUCCCCAUCUGCUGCAGAUUGGAGAAGAGGAACCCCAGGUUUUGCGUAGAGAGGAAAUCCAUGUGGCGUGUGCUAGGUGUUUGAUAGAAUGGAUGAAUCAGAGAUCCUUGUUGCUCUUGCGAAUUCCGAGUCUAUUUAGUGUUGGACGCCAAUCACUCAACACGAACCAGCGGCGGUGCUCUCUGCACAGGGGCAGAUGGUCCGCGGCUAGGGGUCGGACGGUCUGCGACCUGGCGCGAGGCUAGGGUUUCCUGCCUGACGGCCAGAUGGUCCACGCCCUCGGGCCGGAUGGUCCGCGCGUGGCGCAGGGGCGGCGGAAGAUCACCGGCGGCGCCUGGAUCUCACUCCCAGGAGGGACCCCAUCGGGGAGGAGAGAUCCUAGGUGACGUCUAGGCUCGGACAGACCGACCUAGACUCCUCUAAUCGACGUAGAGUCGAAGAGAAGCGGAGAAUUUGGGGAUUGAGAGGCUAAACUAGAAUUAGACUAGAAUUACUCCUAAUUGUACAGGAAAUAAAUACGAGAUAAAAGUGUUAUUGAUUCGAUUGAUAAUUACAAAUCGGUCGUAUACCUCUGUAUUUAUAGAGGAGUGGGCUGGACCCUU